rnacentral:rRNA from 1 species
AUUGAACGCUGGCGGCAUGCCUAACACAUGCAAGUCGAACGGCAGCAUGAGUGGAGCUUGCUCUACUUGAUGGCGAGUGGCGGACGGGUGAGUAAUAUGUAGGAAUCUACCUAGAGGAGCGGGAUAACUUAGGGAAACUUAAGCUAAUACCACAUAAUCCCCACGGGGGAAAGCAGGGGAUCCUCGGACCUAGCGCCUUAUGAUGAGCCUACAUCGGAUUAGCUAGUUGGUGGGGUAAAGGCCUACCAAGGCGACGAUCCGUAGCUGGUAUGAGAGGAUGACCAGCCACACUGGGACUGAGACACGGCCCAGACUCCUACGGGAGGCAGCAGUGGGGAAUAUUGGACAAUGGGCGAAAGCCUGAUCCAGCAAUGCCGCGUGUGUGAAGAAGGCCUUAGGGUUGUAAAGCACUUUCAGUGGGGAGGAAGCUGUAGAUGCUAAUAUCAUUUGCAAUUGACGUUACCCACAGAAGAAGCACCGGCUAACUCUGUGCCAGCCGCCGCGGUAA